CCUACGGGAGGCAGCAGUGAGGAAUAUUGGUCAAUGGACGAGAGUCUGAACCAGCCAAGUAGCGUGAAGGAUGACUGCCCUAUGGGUUGUAAACUUCUUUUAUCAAGGAAUAAAACGAGGCACGUGUGCCUUUUUGCAUGUACUUUAUGAAUAAGGAUCGGCUAACUCCGUGCCAGCAGCCGCGGUAAUACGGAGGAUCCGAGCGUUAUCCGGAUUUAUUGGGUUUAAAGGGAGCGUAGAUGGGUUUUUAAGUCAGUUGGGAAAGUUGGAGGCUCAACCGUAAAAUUGCAAUUGAUACUGGCAGUCUUGAGUACAGUUGAGGUAGGCGGAAUUCGUGGUGUAGCGGUGAAAUGCUUAGAUAUCACGAAGAACCCCGAUUGCGAAGGCAGCUUACUAAACUGUGACUGACAUUGAUGCUCGAAAGUGUGGGUAUCAAACAGGAUUAGAUACCCUAGUAGUC
rnacentral:rRNA from 1 species